rnacentral:rRNA from 1 species
CCUACGGGAGGCAGCAGUGGGGAAUAUUGCACAAUGGGCGCAAGCCUGAUGCAGCCAUGCCGCGUGUGUGAAGAAGGCCUUCGGGUUGUAAAGCACUUUCAGCGGGGAGGAAGGCGUUAAGGUUAAUAACCUUGGCGAUUGACGUUACCCGCAGAAGAAGCACCGGCUAACUCCGUGCCAGCAGCCGCGGUAAUACGGAGGGUGCAAGCGUUAAUCGGAAUUACUGGGCGUAAAGCGCACGCAGGCGGUCUGUCAAGUCGGAUGUGAAAUCCCCGGGCUCAACCUGGGAACUGCAUUCGAAACUGGCAGGCUAGAGUCUUGUAGAGGGGGGUAGAAUUCCAGGUGUAGCGGUGAAAUGCGUAGAGAUCUGGAGGAAUACCGGUGGCGAAGGUGGCCCCCUGGACAAAGACUGACGCUCAGGUGCGAAAGCGUGGGGAGCAAACAGGAUUAGAUACCCUUGUAGUC